rnacentral:rRNA from 1 species
GUGGGGAAUAUUGGACAAUGGGCGCAAGCCUGAUCCAGCCAUGCCGCGUGAGUGAUGAAGGUCUUAGGAUUGUAAAGCUCUUUCACCGAUGAAGAUAAUGACGGUAGUCGGAGAAGAAGCCCCGGCUAACUUCGUGCCAGCAGCCGCGGUAAUACGAAGGGGGCUAGCGUUGUUCGGAAUUACUGGGCGUAAAGCGCAUGUAGGCGGAUAUUUAAGUCAGGGGUGAAAUCCCGCAGCUCAACUGCGGAACUGCCUUUGAUACUGGGUAUCUUGAGUAUGGAAGAGGUGAGUGGAAUUCCGAGUGUAGAGGUGAAAUUCGUAGAUAUUCGGAGGAACACCAGUGGCGAAGGCGGCUCACUGGUCCAUUACUGACGCUGAGGUGCGAAAGCGUGGGGAGCAAACAGGAUUAGAUACCCCAGUAGUCC